rnacentral:rRNA from 1 species
GAUCCUGGCUCAGGAUGAACGCUGGCGGCGUGCCUAACACAUGCAAGUCGAACGAGGUAUUUUGAUUGAAGUUUUCGGAUGGAUUUCAAGAUACCGAGUGGCGGACGGGUGAGUAACGCGUGGGUAACCUGCCUCAUACAGGGGGAUAACGGUUAGAAAUGACUGCUAAUACCGCAUAAGCGCACAGUACCGCAUGGUACGGUGUGAAAAACUCCGGUGGUAUGAGAUGGACCCGCGUCUGAUUAGUUAG